GACGAACGCUGGCGGCGUGCUUAACACAUGCAAGUCGAACGGAAAGGCCCGGCUUUUGUGGGGUGCUCGAGUGGCGAACGGGUGAGUAACACGUGAGUAACCUGCCCUUGACUUUGGGAUAACUUCAGGAAACUGGGGCUAAUACCGGAUAGGAGCUCCUGCUGCAUGGUGGGGGUUGGAAAGAUUCGGCGGUUGGGGAUGGACUCGCGGCUUAUCAGCUUGUUGGUGGGGUAGUGGCUUACCAAGGCUUUGACGGGUAGCCGGCCUGAGAGGGUGACCGGCCACAUUGGGACUGAGAUACGGGCCAGACUGCUACGGGAGCGAGCAGUGGGGAAUAGUGCACAAUGGGCGGAAGCCGGAUGCAGCAACGCCGCGUGCGGAAUCACGGCCUUCGGGUUGUAAACCGGUUGCGCGUGUGACGAAGCGUGAGUGACGGUAAUGGGUAAAGAAGCACCGGCUAACUACGUG
rnacentral:rRNA from 1 species